CCAUGAACAACGCAAAAAAAUAACAUUCUCGAAACUAGUUUCCACGCGAUUUACGAGGUCACCCCCAUUCUGGGCGCGAGACCCAGGACUUAGAUCGUUGGUUUUCGAAAAUGGAGAGAGACGACAGUGUAAAAAGCUCUCGGCGCUCGAUCUUGGGUGCGGUUCUUUCCUUUUCCCCGUGGAAAGGGCCGCAAUGAUUGGACGUACAU
rnacentral:sRNA from 1 species